UUUUGGCAAUAUAGUGUUGUACUCUAAGCUAUAUUGAUAUUUUGUGCUUAUUAUUGUUGUACAAGGCUUGCUUUGUGUUGUUGUACAUCAUGGUGUCUAUUGGUUUCCUCACCACCACCGCUUCAUUCGACCUGUAAAACCCUAAAAAAGAGACUCACAUCCAGUUGAUCAAUAUCGGCGUUCCUUCCGAUCUUAACUUCACCACUACCAUCCAUCCCCGUCGGUCCGUCACCACCACCAUUCCCCUCUCCUCUCUUGUCUCUUCCCUCUGUGAAACUACCACCAUCUUUGUCAUCUCCGAUAGCCGCUGUAAACAACCCAGCCCUGAAGUACCGAAAUUGUAAAAUCGGUUAUUCUUAGCGGUGAUUUAAAGUCGACGCUAUCGAUUUCGCUUGAGGAUACGGUUUUGUUGAUUCUCAUUUGGGGCUUGCAUUUUGGGGGUUUCGGGAUUCGAACGUCACCUGUGGGUUGGGGUUCAAAAAGAACUGAAGGUUAUUCCAUUGUGAUUUUGUAUGAACAGAAUGUAAGAAAAAUAUUAACUUCCAGUAUGCUUAAAUGCCAUCUCCAUGACCUCUUUCAUUCAACUACACUUCAAAUUGUCAUGGAGUAGGUAUAGUUUGCAUCACCUCAGGUACAUAUUAGACGUCUUUCUCCAAUGCUAGACUUUUCAUAGCUUAUGUUAGGAGAGGGCAACCGUUGGACUACAAAGGCUGUCUAGAAUGCCGAAGAAAAGUUUAUGAAUAAAAAUCACAAGUAUGCUGGAGGGCUUAACUUAUUACAGCCACUUCCCAUCCAUCUUCCCAACAUAUCCUCUCUAUGGCCCUUAUUGACGGCCAAACUCUGUGGCGGCAGGAAUGUUAGCAAAAAAACACUGCCGUUCUCGCCCUGGCCGGCUUCUCAGCAACAGCCGCAAUGCCAAGUCGGGUCCGGUUUGCGAGCCGUUUUACUUCGAAAACUUAGCAGCAAACGAGAAUCCACGGGUACUGACUACGGACGUUUUCUAGCCAUAUCAGCUCAAACUCCAAUUGAGCCGAUUAAGAAACGAGGAUGUUCAACGACACUCAGUUUGAUAUUGGAAGCCAUGGGAGCUGAAUUUAUCUAGAAUAUUCUGAUAGACAAAAGACAACGCAUAAGGUUACUUCAUUGAAGAUGAGACAGAAGUCAUGGACAGCACAGGUUUUCUCUUCUUUGACUACAUCGCUUCGAUUCGAAGGGGCGUUGAAUGUCGAUGUGAAUGAGUUUCAUACCAAUUUUUGAGAGAGGAUUUGGCUACUCUUGAGAAGGAUUAUGAAUAGUUUGGGCUUGAGUCUGCUGAUAACGAGGAAGGCCAUGGUGAAGAGUAUUAGUUAAUUAGUAUUAAGUCUGCUUUUUGUGUUUCCUAAGUUUAAAAACUAAUGUGUUUAAAACAAGGUAUAUGUAUAACCAGGUAGGUACUGCCCUUAUUAUGAAGAAAUUUCAUACGGAAUAA